GUCCCUGUAGCGCAGUGGAUGGCGAGUUGGACCUCUAAUCCAAUGGGUUCGAAUCCCACCUGGGUUG